UACGGAGGAUCCAAGCGUUAUCCGGAUUUAUUGGGUUUAAAGGGUGCGUAGGCGGCCUGUUAAGUCAGGGGUGAAAGACGGUAGCUCAACUAUCGCAGUGCCCUUGAUACUGAUGGGCUUGAAUGGACUAGAGGUAGGCGGAAUGAGACAAGUAGCGGUGAAAUGCAUAGAUAUGUCUCAGAACACCGAUUGCGAAGGCAGCUUACUAUGGUCUUAUUGAUGCUGAGGCACGAAAGCGUGGGGAUCAAACAGG
rnacentral:rRNA from 1 species